GGUGGGGUUCCCGAGUGGCCAAAGGGAACAGACUGUAAAUCUGUCGGCGAACGCCUUCGGAGGUUCGAAUCCUCCCCCCACCA
rnacentral:tRNA from 1 species